rnacentral:rRNA from 1 species
GCAUUUGGUGGAUGCCUUGGCGAUAACAGGCGAUGAAGGACGUUGUAGUCUGCGAUAAGCCUCGGGGAGCUGACAAACAAGCUUUGAUCCGAGGAUUUCCGAAUGGGGAAACCCACCGCACUCGUGCGGUAUCCGCAUCUGAAUACAUAGGAUGUGUGAAGCGAACCCGGGGAACUGAAACAUCUAAGUACCCGAAGGAAAGGACAUCAAUUGAGACUUCCCUAGUAGCGGCGAGCGAACGGGAACCAGGCCAGUGUCUCUUCUUGAGUCAGCGGAACGAUCUGGAAAGUUCGGCCAUAGCGGGUGAUAGCCCCGUACGUUAAAGCGAUUGAAGAGACCUUGAGUAGGGCGGGACACGUGAAAUCCUGUCUGAACAUGGGGGGACCACCCUCCAAGCCUAAGUACUCCUUACCAACCGAUAGUGAACCAGUACCGUGAGGGAAAGGCGAAAAGAACCCC